rnacentral:rRNA from 1 species
UUUAACGGCCGCGGUAUUUUGACCGUGCGAAGGUAGCGCAAUCACUUGUCUUUUAAAUGGAGACCUGUAUGAAUGGCACAACGAGGGCUUAACUGUCUCCUUUUUCCAGUCAAUGAAAUUGAUCUUCCCGUGCAGAAGCGGGAAUAAUAUCAUAAGACGAGAAGACCCUGUGGAGCUUUAGACACUAAAUCAGCCCUUGUCCAAAAAUCCCAAUUAAAGGAAUAAACACUAGAGUGAGACCUGAUCUAAUGUCUUCGGUUGGGGCGACCUUGGGGAAAGAAAAAUCCCCCAUGCGGAACGGAAAUACCAUGUUUCCAAAACUAAGAGAGACCACUCAAAGUAUCAAAAAUUUUGACCAACUAUAUGAUCCGGCUUAACGCCGAUCAACGGACCGAGUUACCCCAGGGAUAACAGCGCAAUCCUCUUUUAGAGCCCAUAUCGACAAGAGGGUUUACGACCUCGAUGUUGGAUCAGGACAUCCUAA